CUCCCUUGUCACUCAGGCUGGAGUGCUGUGGAGCGAUCUUGGCUCACCGCAACCUCUGCCUCCCAGUUUAAAGCAAUUCUUGUGCCUCAGCCUCCUGAGUAGCUGGGAUUACAGGUGUGUGUCACCACACCUUGCUAAUUUUUGUAUUUUUAGUAGAGAUGGGGUUUUGCAUGUUGGCCAGGCUGGUCUCAAACUCCGGGCCUCAGGUCAUCUGCCCACCCCUGCCUCCCAAAGUGCUGGGAUUACAGGCGUGAGCCACCGCGCCCAGCUGAAAUCCUAGUUCUAAUAUAACAAGAGGUUAGCUGGCUCCUUGGCAGCAGUGGCAAGCCCGCCUCCUGAGAAGUGACUCUGGUGCCCAUGAGUAGGUUGGUGUAUGUCAUCCCAUUUUGCAGAGGAGAAAUUGAUGAAAGCUACCUGGCUAGUCACUGCAGAGGCUUGGCUGGGAUGCUAAGACCCACUGCCUUGGUUACCAGGCUGCAGCCUGCAGGUUGCCCAUCCAAUGUGCGAACUCCAGCGGGGGCAGGAAAGCCCCCGAAGAAUGGUGCUGUUUGCUUUCUGGUCUUAAUAAAUCUCAUGCUGGGAGAAUCCUGUUUUAGUGAUUAGCAUCAGUAUAUCCAGUCCUCGGAAACAAAAAUAUUUCCAGGUCCCAGAAGAGGGUCCAGAGUAACACAGCUUUACUGAUCUGGUUUCAAUAAAUCUUGUUAACAAAAAAUUCUAUAGAACAGAUGUUUUUUACUUGUCUCUGUUAAUGUAUGGACGAUUCUUUAUUUCAAAGGUAGUGUGAUUUUGGCAUUUGUGAUUUGCAUUGUUUAGCGCAAAGCAUUUUAAAAGUACUUCAAUAUUGCAAAAUGCUAAACGUUAUUUUUUAUUUUAUUUUUUGAGACAGGGUCUCGCUCUAUUACUCAGGCUGGAGUGCAGUGGUGCAAUCUCGGCUCACUGCAGCGGCAGCCUCUGCCUCCUGGGAUCAAGCAAUCCUCCCACCUCAGCCUCCCAAGUAGCUGGGACUACAGGCACACGCCACCAUGCCCGACUAAUUGUUUUUGUAUUUUUAGUGGAGACGGGGUUUUGUCACGUUGCCCUGGCUGGUCUCGAACUCCUGGCCUCAAGCAAUCCAUCCGCCUCGGCCUCCCAAAGUGCUGGGAUUAAAGACGUGAGCCACCAUGCUUUGCUUAAAGUUAUUAUUUUAAGAAAAUUUGCGGCACAUUUUUAGAAAGAUCAGAAGGGCUGGCAGAGGUGAAGUGAUUCUCAAAAUCAGGGUAAG
rnacentral:lncRNA from 1 species